rnacentral:misc_RNA from 1 species
GAUGAAGAACGCAGCAAAAUGCGAUAAGUAAUGUGAAUUGCAGAAUUCAGUGAAUCAUCGAAUCUUUGAACGCACAUUGCGCCCGCUGGUAUUCCGGCGGGCAUGCCUGUUCGAGCGUCAUUUCAACCCUCAAGCCCCCGGGUUUGGUGUUGGGGAUCGGCUCUGCCCUUCUGGGCGGUGCCGCCCCCGAAAUACAUUGGCGGUCUCGCUGCGGCCUCCAUUGCGUAGUAGCUAACACCUCGCAACUGGAACGCGGCGCGGCCAUGCCGUAAAACCCCAACUUCUGAAUGUUGACCUCGGAUCAGGUAGGAAUACCCGCUGAACUUAAGCAUAUCAAUAAGCGGAGGA